CGGGGCGGCGGGCAGGGGGCGUCUGCCAGAUUCCGGGGCGGGUCCGGCUGCCUCCGCCCCGCCGUCGGGGAAGACUUGUUCAAGGAAGGAGAUCACAGACGGGGACUGAGAACUUCAGAAAAUUGAACAGACCCUCCGGAGUUUCUCCAUGAUACCAAGUGGAUUUCAUCGCGAUUGAGAAAUACAGCGCCCUGCACACACCCUGAGGAUCAUUCUCCUGUUCCUAUCAAGUUUUUGUAAAAAACCUCGGGACCCUUUCCCCAAGAUGGGCUCACGGUCUCUGAGGCAGUCGUCUGCUGUGACUCCCUUUGCCUGGCAAAGCAGUAAAGCUGUUGUUUUCUAUCCUCCCCAAACUCUGUCUCCGUUUCUGUCUUGGCUGUGGGCACAGAGGCCGGUUUUUCCGCAACAACUCUGACUGCCCGUUUGACCUACUGGCUGUGAAAACACCGGUGAGAAAUGUAAAUAAAGCUGUGUUCAGUG